UCGGGAAUUUUGGGCAAUGGGCGAAAGCCUGACCCAGCAACGCCGCGUGAAGGAUGAAGUAUUUCGGUAUGUAAACUUCGAAAGAAUAGGAAGAAUAAAUGACGGUACUAUUUAUAAGGUCCGGCUAACUACGUGCCAGCAGCCGCGGUAAUACGUAGGGACCAAGCGUUGUUCGGAUUUGCUGGGCGUAAAGGGCGCGUAGGCGGUGUGUCAAGUCAGUUGUGAAAUCUCCGAGCUUAACUCGGAACGGUCAACUGAUACUGUCACACUAGAGUACAGAAGGGGCAAUCGGAAUUCUUGGUGUAGCGGUGAAAUGCGUAGAUAUCAAGAGGAACACCUGAGGCGAAGGCGGGUUGCUGGGCUGAUACUGACGCUGAGGCGCGAAAGCUAGGGUAGCAAACGGGAUUAGAUACCCAAGUAGUCCCUGAGCGGGCUGGCAAGGCGCAU
rnacentral:rRNA from 1 species